rnacentral:rRNA from 1 species
GUACCACCUAAAAUCCGCGUUUUUGCUUGGCGCCUAGCAAAGACGUCUUUGCCAACGGGGGACGUCCGGAAGGAGAGAUCCAUGGCGGACACGGCCGAGUGCUCGAUUUGCCAUGCGGCCGUUGAUAACUGGAGACACUCACUAUUCGAAUGUCAUACGGCCAAAUGUGUGUGGGCGCUUGCGGACAAGGAGGUAACAGAAGUGAUCAUUUCAAACAGGUCGGAAGAUGCUAAGCUAUGGCUAUUUUGGCUAAUGGAUACCCUACCUACGGUGGAACUUACCCGAGUUCUGGUGACUAUGUGGGCUAUUUGGUGGGCCCGGAGGCGAGCCAUUCAUGAUGAUCAAUUCCAGAGUCCUAUGAGUACUCAUUGCUUUGUCAAUAAAUUUUUGGAGGAGCUGGAGAUGGUAGAAGAUCAACGCCUCAACGCCAGGGACUUGCAUAGUUGGCUCCCUCCACUAGAGAGCGAUGCAAAACUGAAUGUGGAUGGCGGCAUAUCUAGAAGGGGAGAUCGAGGGGCUGCAACUGUCAUAUGCCGAGACAAGACUGGCCAGUACUUGGGGGCUUCUGCGAUGGUUUUCGACGGUCUCGUUGACCCAGCGACUCUUGAAGCCCGAGCGUGCAGUGAAGCACUGGCACUAGCAUCAGACCUAAACCUCCGGUCUAUCAGUGUGGCGUCUGAUUGUGCGGAGGUGGUCGCCAAUCUGGAGACUAGAGGUCCGUUCCGCUACGCUAUGAUUCUUGAGGAGUUUAGAGCACAAAGAGUUUCUUUUGACUUUAUUCGAGUAGUUCAUGAGAGGAGGAUCCAUAAUGCUGAGGCUCAUUCGUUGGCCAAAGCGGCCUCCUCUCUCCCUCCUGGGCGCCACGUGUGGCUAGAUGUUUUGCCCAAUAUCAUCUGUAUUCCGUGA